rnacentral:rRNA from 1 species
GGCAGGCUUAACACAUGCAAGUCGAGGGGUAACAGGGAGCUUGCUCCGCUGACGACCGGCGCACGGGUGCGUAACGCGUAUAGAACCUACCUUUUACUGGAGAAUAGCCUUUAGAAAUGAAGAUUAAUGCUCCAUAGUAUUGCGACUCGGCAUCGGGUUGUAAUUAAAUUUAUUGGUAAAAGAUGGCUAUGCGUCCUAUUAGUUAGAUGGUAAGGUAACGGCUUACCAUGACAUCGAUAGGUAGGGGUCCUGAGAGGGAGAUCCCCCACACUGGUACUGAGACACGGACCAGACUCCUACGGGAGGCAGCAGUGAGGAAUAUUGGGCAAUGGAGGCAACUCUGACCCAGCCAUGCCGCGUGCAGGAAGACGGCCCUAUGGGUUGUAAACUGCUUUUAUACAGGAAGAAACACUGGUAUGUAUACCAGCUUGACGGUACUGUAAGAAUAAGGACCGGCUAACUCCGUGCCAGCAGCCGCGGUAAUACGGAGGGUCCGAGCGUUAUCCGGAAUCAUUGGGUUUAAAGGGUCCGUAGGCGGGAAUCUAAGUCAGUGGUGAAAUCUUGCAGCUCAACUGUAAAAUUGCCAUUGAUACUGGAUUUCUUGAAUGCGUGGGGAGCGAACAGGAUUAGAUCCCCUGGUAGUCCACGCCGUAAACGAUGGAUACUAGCUGUUCGAUCUUCGGAUUGAGUGGCUAAGCGAAAGUGAUAAGUAUCCCACCUGGGGAGUACGUUCGCAAGAAUGAAACUCAAAGGAAUUGACGGGGGCCCGCACAAGCGGUGGAGCAUGUGGUUUAAUUCGAUGACACGCGAGGAACCUUACCAGGGCUUAAAUGCAUUUUGACAGGGGUAGAGAUACCUUUUGCUUCGGGCAAUUUGCAAGGUGCUGCAUGGUUGUCGUCAGCUCGUGCCGUGAGGUGUCAGGUUAAGUCCUAUAACGAGCGCAACCCCUACCGUUAGUUGCCAGCGAGUCAUGUCGGUGACUCUAACGGGACUGCCGGUUCAAACCGUGAGGAAGGUGGGGAUGACGUCAAAUCAUCACGGCCCUUACGUCCUGGGCCACACACGUGCUACAAUGGCCGGUACAGAGAGCAGCCACUUGGCAACAAGGAGCGAAUCUAUAAAACCGGCCACAGUUCGGAUCGGGGUCUGCAACUCGACCCCGUGAAGCUGGAAUCGCUAGUAAUCGGAUAUCAGCCAUGAUCCGGUGAAUACGUUCCCGGGCCUUGUACACACCGCCCGUCAAGCCAUGGAAGCUGGGAGUGCCUGAAGUUCGUCACCGCAAGGAGCGACCUAGGGCAAG